rnacentral:misc_RNA from 1 species
ACAACGCCACGUACCAAAACAUGGCUUGCCAAACACCUAUCCUUGUUACGGAAACAGUUCUGCAAUCCCCUUCUCCAUCAGAAAUUGUAAAUCUCACCUCAUCUCUCUCUUUCUCCUCUCCUUUGAAAAGAACACUUUCUUCUCGUAUCGAUAAUCUCAUAGAAAUUGCUACCCUACCUAAAGUCGCACAGGUUGAAGAAUCUCUUCUACCCCUUCUUAGCCCCUACAAUAUCUAUCGACGGUCUGGAUCUCUGAUCAGAUCUAUCA